AACUCGGCAAAAUGACCCCGUAACUUAGGGAUAAGGGGUGCCACCAUCAGGUGGCCGCAGAGAAUAGGCCCAAGCGACUGUUUACCAAAAACAUAGGUUUCUGCUAAGUCGCAAGACGAUGUAUAGGAGCUGACGCCUGCCCGGUGCUGGAAGGUUAAGGGGAUCUGUUAGAGCAAUCGAAGCAGUGAACUUAAGCCCCAGUAAACGGCGGCCGUAACUAUAACGGUCCUAAGGUAGCGAAAUUCCUUGUCGGGUAAGUUCCGACCCGCACGAAAGGCGUAACGAUUUGGGCACUGUCUCAACAACAGACUCGGUGAAAUUGUAAUUCCGGUGAAGAUGCCGGAUACCUGCGACAGGACGGAAAGACACCAUGGAGCUUUACUGUAGCUUGACAUUGGGUCUUGGUACUACAUGUACAGGAUAGGUGGGAGGCUUUGAAACCAGGACGCCAGUUUUGGCGGAGCCAUCCUUGGGAUACCACCCUUGUAGUACUGGGACUCUAACCAUAGGCCAUGAAUCUGGUCUUGGGACACUGUCAGGUGGGCAG
rnacentral:rRNA from 1 species